rnacentral:rRNA from 1 species
UACGGAGGGUGCAAGCGUUGUCCGGAAUCACUGGGCGUAAAGGGCGCGUAGGCGGCCUGGUAAGUAGGGGGUGAAAUCCUGCGGCUUAACCGCAGGGCUGCCUUCUAAACUGUCAGGCUUGAGCACGGUAGAGGCAGAUGGAAUUCCCGGUGUAGCGGUGGAAUGCGUAGAGAUCGGGAAGAACAUCAGUGGUGAAGGCGGUCUGCUGGGCCGUUGCUGACGCUGAGGAGCGAAAGCUAGGGGAGCAAACGGG